CAGGCUCCGUGUCACUCAGUCUUCCACUUCAACAGAAGGUACUGCAGUGUCAGUGUGCACAGAAGGGACAGAUAGAAGCUUCUUUAUACCUGAGCAGGAUAUACUUUUACGCCGUUACCGCAAUUAUGCCUGGUCUAUCUGGAUGGUUGCUAAUAUUUACAAUUCCGUUUGCCACGAAAAUUGUAUACUCCGAUUCCGUUAAUUGUCCAGAAAGAAGUGUAUACGAUCUACACGAUAUACCCAGUCUGACCGUUGACUCAAAAAAGAAUGGGGUGGUUGAGAUAGAAUGUGGAAAAGCUGGUGAGGACAUGACCGGUAUCUCUAGGUCCUGCUCUGAAGAAACAACAAAAAUGGAGGAAUGUGGACUGGAGGGAAAGUCAAAGCAGUGUGGCGUCAAGUGCAAGUGUAACGACUUAGAGGAAAAAUUGCAGUGUAUGUGUGUGCCUAUAACGGCUUGCAUUGGUGGUGUCAAGACUGUUAUAGGCUGUGUUAAGACAAAGAGUCGUACAGCUGAUGUGUAUGAUCCCGCAGAAGAAUCAUAAUAAUUCAUAAAUUUUCGUGAAUAGAGAAGAUAAUUCGAUCUGCCUCGGCGACAUUACCAGCGCGAUAGAAUCCUGGUAAAUGCUCUAGUGGGCAAGGAAAGUCGCCGCCGCUAGUAUGAGCCUUGUAACGAGUUAGCAGCUUUCGAGUUCUGCCAAAAAAUAAGCUGCUGGCGUACAUGUGCGGUUGAUGCAAAGUGAUUUCAAGAAGCAUAGUGAAGGAAAGAGGAAACAGAGCCUUGUUCAAGAUGAGUUUCUGCAUGGAUGCUGUGCCGCCUUUCUGUUGUUGAUGUCUCGACUGGGCGCUCAGGAAUGGAACCACCCACUGAAAGAUGGAUGCCAGUGCUAGUGCCUGCCAUACUCGGACAGCACCAACGCCUGACAUCUCUACAAAGCUGUUAUAUGUUCACAAUUUACUACUUAAAAACGUGCCUGUUGAAUUACGAGUAUUUAUGCCUUAAGAAAGGUGGCUGUAGCAUUACGAUAAUUUCUACUGGAAAAAUCUAAUCGUUUAGGGUCAUUAUAUGGGCAAGUAUAUGUCAUGUAAUGUAAGUCUUGAGUGCUGCCUUAAUUUCGUAUCGCAAAAAUUCUUCCUUUGUCUUGUAAAAUGUCAUCUUCAAAAUAGUUGCUGUAACCUCAAGGAAGGAGUAGCUGUAAUGUAAAGGGAAACGAUGUUCGACUCCCAUAGUAUUUUAAAGUGACUUUUAAAUAAUAAUCAUAAAUGCUAAGUGAUAAAUAAUUAAUAAUAAACAAUGAAAAUCCUU